UUUAAUAUUUUGCUUACUCGCGAUCCAAAAACCUCUACCGAAUCGUUAGUUCCCUGUUUUAAUCCCAUGAAUUCCUCGUUAAUACUAUGCAUAUUAAACGAACGCACGUAUGCCCUUUUAAGUAAUCCAAUUAAUUCAGCUAAUGUACUUGGUUCCCGGCGAUUUGAAAGUACUAAUUUUGCAUGUCCCCCGAUUUUACCACGAAUUAAGAACAGAAGACCAGCUCUAUCCUCAGGCUUUACUUUGGAAUUAAUUAAUUGACACUCCUUAAUGAAUUCAGUCAGAGAACAAGAUUUUCCAUCAAACUGAGGUAUCAAAUCCUUCACUAAAGAGAGACGAAGAUAUGACUCUGGAAGCGUACUAGAUGACUCUAUAGAGAUUGGAGUAUUUUUAGAAACAGCAGCAGCAACCACAGUUGAGGACAAAGAUCGGUAGAAGAUGCCCCGGGAGAUGAAGAAGAUUCUGCAUUUGAUGAAUCUAUGUUUAACUCCUCUACCAAAAAUGUAUUUUCCCGCAGGCCGAUUUUGCGACUCCUUUUGGCGCGCAUGUACUUUAACUUAUACGGCGGCAUUUUGUCAAAUUAUUUCUAACGGUUUCACUUAACGAGUUUUCUAUUUUCAAACACCAAACUCCGUCCGUCGGUUAUCCGUUAUAUCGGUUGGCCUUGAAUCACGGGAAGAUCCUCUGGUUCUGUGAUUUGAUGAUGAUCUCUGUU